GCGGCGCUAGUCUAAUGGUAGGACAGAAGCUUCCCAAGCUUCUAACGCGGGUUCGAUUCCCGCGCGCCGCA
rnacentral:tRNA from 1 species